UGGGGAUAAUACCCCAUAGACUAUGGAUGCUGGAAUGCUCUGUAGUUGAAAGGUCCGCCGCCAUAGGAUGGGUCUGCGGCCGAUUAGGUUGUUGUUGGGGUAACGGCCCAACAAGCCUGUAAUCGGUACGGGUUGUGGGAGCAAGAGCCCGGAGAUGGAUUCUGAGACACGAAUCCAGGCCCUACGGGGCGCAGCAGGCGCGAAAACUUUACAAUGCGGGAAACCGUGAUAAGGGAACUCCGAGUGCCCGUAAAAUCGGGCUGUCCAUCUGUUUAAAUAACAGGUGGAGAAAGGGCCGGGCAAGACCGGUGCCAGCCGCCGCGGUAAUACCGGCGGCUCGAGUGGUGGCCACUAUUACUGGGCUUAAAGCGUUCGUAGCUGGUUUGUUAAGUCUCUGGGGAAAUCUGCCGGCUCAACCGGCAGGCGUUCCAGGGAUACUGGCAGACUAGGGACCGGGAGAGGUGAGGGGUACUCCAGGGGUAGGAGUGAAAUCCUGUAAUCCUUGGGGGACCACCUGUGGCGAAGGCGCCUCACCAGAACGGCUCCGACAGUGAGGGACGAAAGCUGGGGGAGCAAACCGGAUUAGAUACCCGGGUAGUCCCAGCCGUAAACGAUGCGCGUUAGGUGUAUCGGUGACCACGAGUCACCGAGGUGCCGAAGAGAAAUCGUGAAACGUGCCGCCUGGGAAGUACGGUCGCAAGGCUGAAACUUAAAGGAAUUGGCGGGGGAGCACCACAACAGGUGGAGCCUGCGGUUUAAUCGGACUCAACGCCGGAAAUCUCACCGGAUAAGACAGCUGGAUGAUAGUCGGGCUGAAGACUCUACUUGACUAGCUGAGAGGAGGUGCAUGGCCGUCGUCAGUUCGUACUGUGAAGCAUCCUGUUAAGUC
rnacentral:rRNA from 1 species